CCUACGGGAGGCAGCAGUGGGGAAUAUUGGGCAAUGGGUGCAAGCCUGACCCAGCAACGCCGCGUGAAGGAAGAAGGCUUUCGGGUUGUAAACUUCUUUUAAGAGGGAAGAGCAGAAGACGGUACCUCUUGAAUAAGCCACGGCUAACUACGUGCCAGCAGCCGCGGUAAUACGUAGGUGGCAAGCGUUGUCCGGAUUUACUGGGUGUAAAGUGCGUGCAGCCGGGAAGACAAGUCAGAUGUGAAAUCCCGCGGCUCAACCGCGGAACUGCAUUUGAAACUGUUUUUCUUGAGUACCGGAGAGGUCAUCGGAAUUCCUUGUGUAGCGGUGAAAUGCGUAGAUAUAAGGAAGAACACCAGUGGCGAAGGCGGAUGACUGGACGGCAACUGACGGUGAGGCGCGAAAGCGUGGGGAGCGAACAGGAUUAGAUACCCGGGUAGUC
rnacentral:rRNA from 1 species